UGGGACAUAGCACAGUGGUAGAGCACUUGCCUAGCGUGCAAGAAACCCUAGGCUCUAUCCCUGGAGCCACAA
rnacentral:tRNA from 1 species